rnacentral:rRNA from 1 species
AACGAACGCUGGCGGCAUGCCUAACACAUGCAAGUCGAACGAGACCUUCGGGUCUAGUGGCGCACGGGUGCGUAACGCGUGGGAACCUGCCCUUAGGUUCGGAAUAACUCCCCGAAAGGGGUGCUAAUACCGGAUAAUGUCUUCGGACCAAAGAUUUAUCGCCUUUGGAUGGGCCCGCGUUGGAUUAGCUAGUUGGUAGGGUAAAAGCCUACCAAGGCGACGAUCCAUAGCUGGUCUGAGAGGAUGAUCAGCCACACUGGGACUGAGACCCGGCCCAGACUCCUACGGGAGGCAGCAGUGGGGAAUAUUGGACAAUGGGCGAAGGCCUGAACCAGCAAUGCCGCGUGAGUGAUGAAGGCCUUAGGGUUGUAAAGCUCUUUUACCCGGGAUGAUAAUGACAGUACCGGGAGAAUAAGCUCCGGCUAACUCCGUG